CAUUGAUUCAAUGUUGUUUCAAUCAUUCUGUGCUAUCUGGGUACAAACAAGCUGUGAACUAAAAGAUGCCGGCUUUUUUCUUUGCUUCGGAUUUCAAUAUUCAGCGGCAGCUCGAUGGAGCCAUGAGGAAUGAGUCGUUUUGUCACCAUAGUGGAGCGAAUGGAAAGCCUCGUUAGCCGCUUCGGAGGGUAAACACCGACUCAGGCAGCUGAUGCCGCUGCUGCUCCCAACCAGAAGGAGAGCAACAUGGCUGACAUGAUGGAGAACCGUCAGAACACCUGGAUCUCCUUCAGGAGGAAGCAGCUACCAGCAGAGAUGGCAGAGCUCCAUGGAGAAUUGAGACAAACAAAAGAAAA